rnacentral:rRNA from 1 species
UUUGACCUCAGAUUAGACGUGAAAACCCGCUGAAUUUAAGCAUAUAACUAGGCGGAGGAA